GAUGAACGCUGGCGGCGUGCCUAAUACAUGCAAGUCGAGCGAACAGACGAGGAGCUUGCUCCUCUGACGUUAGCGGCGGACGGGUGAGUAACACGUGGAUCACCUACCUAUAAGACUGGGAUAACUUCGGGAAACCGGAGCUAAUACCGGAUAAUAUAUUGAACCGCAUGGUUCAAUAGUGAAAGACGGUUUUGCUGUCACUUAUAGCUGGAUCCGCGCCGCAUUAGCUAGUUGGUAAGGUAACGGCUUACCAAGGCGACGAUGCGUAGCCGACCUGAGAGGGUGAUCGGCCACACUGGAACUGAGACACGGUCCAGACUCCUACGGGAGGCAGCAGUAGGGAAUCUUCCGCAAUGGGCGAAAGCCUGACGGAGCAACGCCGCGGGAGUGAUGAAGGUCUUCGGAUCGUAAAACUCUGUUAUUAGGGAAGAACAAAUGUGUAAGUAACUAUGCACGUCUUGACGGUACCUAAUCAGAAAGCCACGGCUAACUACGUG
rnacentral:rRNA from 1 species